rnacentral:rRNA from 1 species
GUAGGUGAACCUGCGGAAGGAUCAUUGUCGAAAACUGCAAAGUUGGACGACCCGUGAACCCGUAACUAGACCGGGAAGGCAUCGUAUCGAUCCUCGGACCGUCCGGUGUCCGUCCCCCGCCGGGCGUGCGCGUGCGCAUUUCCCGGCGAAAACAACAAACCCCGGCGCGGUCCGCGCCAAGGAAAUUCAACAAAGAGAUGACGCUCUCCUGACGACCCGUUCGCGGGCCGGUGGGAGGGCAGCGAUCUUGCAUAUUAACAAAACGACUCUCGGCAACGGAUAUCUAGGCUCUCGCAUCGAUGAAGAACGUAGCAAAAUGCGAUACUUGGUGUGAAUUGCAGAAUCCCGUGAACCAUCGAGUUUUUGAACGCAAGUUGCGCCCGAAGCCAUUGGGCUGAGGGCACGUCUGCCUGGGCGUCUCAUAACGCGUCGCUACACCCACCGACUCCCCGCAAGGGCGUCGGUCGGUGAGGCGGAUACUGGCUCCCCGUGCGCAUCCGUGCCCGGCCGGCCUAAAAACGAGUCCCGACGAUCGACGUCGCGGCAAGUGGUGGUUGUCAAACUGUUGCGUGCUGCCGCGCGCGUCUCGGUCGCAUCGGCCGACUCACCGACCCUGUAGCGCCAUUCGCGUGGCGCCUCGAUCGCGACCCCAGGUCAGGCGGGAUUACCCGCUGAAUUUAA